GCGGCGCAAGACGGCGAGAAGAGUCGCUCGAGCGCGACGGUCGAAGGACUCGUAGUAUGGCAGUUAGCUAUAUUAUUGGCAGCCAGCGCAAGCCUUGCCGUUGUAGCGCUGAUUCGUUGCCAGAUGCAGUUGUAGCAUUGAUUCGUUGCCAGAUGCAGUUGUAGCGUUGAUUCGUUGCCAGGUACGUACAUGUACAUAACUAAGGGGCAAGUUGGUCUUUUCACUAGCCAAUUAAUGUAAAAAAUAAUUUAAAUGGGGCUAAUGGCAUGCUAAUCAAGGAUGCAACAACUUAAGUGGCAAUUGUGCGAAUCAAAUCUCUAGAAUGGCAAUUGUGCGAAGCCCAACGAAUAAAAUGGCAAAAAUCCAAUUUUCUCUCCAGCAGGGUAGCUAGGGUUUGGGAACGAGGCCACCCACCUUUGCCAAGGCGUCGACGAGAGGAGAUCGGUAGAAACCGAGGCGAAGAUGGAGGAAACGGUAGAGCCGGAGACUCUGAUUCGGACGAAGAGGAUGGGGGCAGAGAAGAAGAUGCGCCGCAUGCCUGACGAUUUCGUGAAGCUCAAACUGAUGAUGGGCCUGAGCCCGGCGAGGGAACCGCGUGACCUCCAAGAUGAUGAAGUCUCCAAGAUGAUGGACGACGACAUGGAGCAGUUCCUUGCCCGGCUUCGCGACCACUGGGUGGCCAAGGGCUACGUCGAGCUGGAACAGGGAUUCUGAGACAACGAUCGAGCCACGACUAGCACGAUUUCGCCGGCCUUCCACGGACCGUACGUUCCUGCAGUACUACUUGCUGUUUAAUUAGGAACUUAGGAUGGCCUAAACUGCUUUCUUUCGUGGCAGGCAGCCUAGCAAGG
rnacentral:lncRNA from 1 species